AUUGAACGCUGGCGGCAGGCCUAACACAUGCAAGUCGAACGCGUGGCGGACGGGUGAGUAAUGUCUGGGAAACUGCCUGAUGGAGGGGGAUAACUACUGGAAACGGUAGCUAAUACCGCAUACCAUCCGAUGUUCCCAGAUGGGAUUAGCUAGUAGGUGGGGUAAAGGCUAACCUAGGCGACAAUCCCUAGCUGGUCUGAGAGGAUGACCGGCCACACUGGAACUGAGACACGGUCCAGACUCCGACGGGAGGCAGCAGUGGGGAAUAUUGCGCAAUGGGCGAAAGCCUGACGCAGCCACGCCGCGUGUAUGAAGAAGGUUGUCGGGUCGUAAAGUACUGUCAGCGGGGAGGCGUGACCCACAGAAAAAGCAACGGCUAACUCCGUGCCAGCAGCCGCGGUAAUUC
rnacentral:rRNA from 1 species